rnacentral:tRNA from 2 species
GGAGAGGUGCUUGAGUUGGUUGAAAAGGGCCGCCUGCUAAGCGGUUAGGCGGGUGUAAGCUUGCCUCGAGGGUUCGAAUCCCUCCCUCUCCGCCA